AGCGUACACGGUGGAUGCCUUGGCAGUCAGAGGCGAUGAAAGACGUAGUAACUUGCGAUAAGCCCAGAUUAGGUAGUAACAACCAUUUGAGUCUGGGAUUUCUGAAUGGGGAAACCCACGUGCAUAAGCACGUAUCCUUACCUGAAUACAUAGGGUAAGGAGGCGAACCGGGGGAACUGAAACAUCUAAGUACCCCGAGGAAAAGAAAUCAACCGAGAUUCCGAAAGUAGCGGCGAGCGAAAUUGGACUAGCCCUUAAGCUUUACACGCGUUAGACGAACGGUCUGGAAAGUCCGACGAUACAGGGUGAUAGUCCCGUAGUUGACGACGUGUGUUCAGUGAAAUCGAGUAGGGCGGGACACGUGAUAUCCUGUCUGAAUAUGGGGGGACCAUCCUCCAAGGCUAAAUACUACUGACUGACCGAUAGUGAACCAGUACCGUGAGGGAAAGGCGAAAAGAACCCCUGUGAGGGGAGUGAAAUAGAACCUGAAACCGUGUACGUACAAGCAGUAGGAGCAGGCUUUGUCCUGUGACUGCGUACCUUUUGUAUAAUGGGUCAGCGACUUAUAUUCAGUGGCAAGGUUAACCAUCUAGGGGAGCCGUAGGGAAACCGAGUCUUAACUGGGCGUUCAGUCUCUGGAUAUAGACCCGAAACCAGGUGAUCUAGCCAUGGGCAGGUUGAAGGUUGAGUAACAUCAACUGGAGGACCGAACCGACUAAUGUUGAAAAAUUAGCGGAUGACUUGUGGCUAGGGGUGAAAGGCCAAUCAAACCUGGAGAUAGCUGGUUCUCCCCGAAAGCUAUUUAGGUAGCGCCUCGGACGAAUACUACUGGGGGUAGAGCACUGUUAAGGCUAGGGGGUCAUCCCGACUUACCAACCCUUUGCAAACUCCGAAUACCAGUAAGUACUAUCCGGGAGACACACGGCGGGUGCUAACGUCCGUCGUGGAGAGGGAAACAACCCAGACCGCCAGCUAAGGUCCCAAAUUACUACUAAGUGGGAAACGAUGUGGGAAGGCUCAGACAGCCAGGAUGUUGGCUUAGAAGCAGCCAUCAUUUAAAGAAAGCGUAAUAGCUCACUGGUCGAGUCGGCCUGCGCGGAAGAUGUAACGGGGCUAAGUAGUAAACCGAAGCUGCGGCAAUGUGCUUUUGCACAUUGGGUAGGGGAGCGUUCUGUAAGCGGUUGAAGGUGUGUGGUAACGCAUGCUGGACGUAUCAGAAGUGCGAAUGCUGACAUGAGUAACGAUAAAGGGGGUGAAAAACCUCCUCGCCGGAAGACCAAGGGUUCCUGUCCAACGUUAAUCGGGGCAGGGUAAGUCGACCCCUAAGGCGAGGCCGAAAGGCGUAGUCGAUGGGAAACGGGUUAAUAUUCCCGUACUUCUUACAAUUGCGAUGGGGGGACGGAGAAGGCUAGGUGGGCCUGGCGACGGUUGUCCAGGUUCAAGUGCGUAGGCUUAAGAGUUAGGUAAAUCCGGCUCUUUUUAAGGCUGAGACACGACGUCGAGCACCUACGGGUGUGAAGUCAUUGAUGCCAUGCUUCCAGGAAAAGCCUCUAAGCUUCAGAUUGUAAGGAAUCGUACCCCAAACCGACACAGGUGGUCGGGUAGAGAAUACCAAGGCGCUUGAGAGAACUCGGGUGAAGGAACUAGGCAAAAUGGUACCGUAACUUCGGGAGAAGGUACGCUCUCGACGGUGAAGUCCCUCGCGGAUGGAGCUAUUGAGAGUCGCAGAUACCAGGUGGCUGCAACUGUUUAUUAAAAACACAGCACUGUGCAAAAUCGUAAGAUGACGUAUACGGUGUGACGCCUGCCCGGUGCCGGAAGGUUAAUUGAUGGGGUUAGACUUCGGUCGAAGCUCUUGAUCGAAGCCCCGGUAAACGGCGGCCGUAACUAUAACGGUCCUAAGGUAGCGAAAUUCCUUGUCGGGUAAGUUCCGACCUGCACGAAUGGCGUAAUGAUGGCCACGCUGUCUCCACCCGAGACUCAGUGAAAUUGAAAUCGCUGUGAAGAUGCAGUGUACCCGCGGCUAGACGGAAAGACCCCGUGAACCUUUACUACAGCUUGGCACUGAACAUUGACCCUACAUGUGUAGGAUAGGUGGGAGGCUUUGAAGCACGUACGCCAGUAUGUGUGGAGCCGUCCUUGAAAUACCACCCUUGUAGUGUUGAUGUUCUAACGUCGACCCCUUAUCGGGGUUGCGGACAGUGCCUGGUGGGUAGUUUGACUGGGGCGGUCUCCUCCCAAAGAGUAACGGAGGAGCACGAAGGUGGGCUAAUCACGGUUGGACAUCGUGAGGUUAGUGCAAUGGCAUAAGCCCGCUUGACUGCGAGAAUGACAAUUCGAGCAGGUGCGAAAGCAGGUCAUAGUGAUCCGGUGGUUCUGAAUGGAAGGGCCAUCGCUCAACGGAUAAAAGGUACUCCGGGGAUAACAGGCUGAUACCGCCCAAGAGUUCAUAUCGACGGCGGUGUUUGGCACCUCGAUGUCGGCUCAUCACAUCCUGGGGCUGAAGUCGGUCCCAAGGGUAUGGCUGUUCGCCAUUUAAAGUGGUACGCGAGCUGGGUUUAGAACGUCGUGAGACAGUUCGGUCCCUAUCUGCCGUGGGCGUUGGAAGAUUGAAGGGGGCUGCUCCUAGUACGAGAGGACCGGAGUGGACGAACCUCUGGUGUUCGGGUUGUGUCGCCAGACGCAUUGCCCGGUAGCUAAGUUCGGAAUCGAUAACCGCUGAAAGCAUCUAAGCGGGAAGCGAGCCCUGAGAUGAGUCUUCCCUGAUACUUUAAGUAUCCUAAAGGGUUGU
rnacentral:rRNA from 1 species